UCAUUAUUCAAACUAAUACAUAUAUCAAAAGUCAAGCGCUGCCGAUAGCUCUCUCCAUCUCUCAGCCUGGAAUCCUGGCCUUACCACUAGCCUGAGUAUCAUCGUUACCAACCUUCUCUGCUUUCACUGGAAAGAACAUAGAGUAUCGCAAGAGUGAGCUGACAAGCUCAGCAAGUAUAACAAUAUCCAUUUAAACAUUUAUCAAAAGAUGAUGGAAAUCAAUAUUUAAUAGAAUCAAUCUCAAUGUCAAAGUUUCUUUUUAGAGUUUCAAUUAGAAUUGGAUAUUAAAUUUUAUUUUUAAAAACCAAAGGUUAGGCUGCUGAUCAGUCAGACACUAACCCCGAGCAGGCCCCGCCAUGCUCGUUUACUGGAUCCAAGGCACACAUUGGCCUAAAGUGACCACUCAUCUGGUCUGACCAUUCAUUUGGUCCAUUUAAGAAAAACUAUCCAAUUCUAUUAUAAAUCAGGAUGAAUAACAAUAUAAUGCAAUAAACAGAAUCAUUAAGAACAUGAUUAAAUUUUGGAGCAGAAACAGAAUUCAUUUCAGCAAUAUCUUUAAGAUAUUCUACAAUAAGAAUCAGGAAUAAUUCCACGAGUCAAAGGAUCAGAUAUAGCAUAUCUGGAUUUCAAGUGAAACAAUAGUCAUGGUCUGUAUGAAAGAAGGUUUCUGGUUUUAUUAAAGAAUUCACAUGUCAAAAGGGUGUUUUCAAGUCCAAAGAAAUUAGGUUAUUGAAAAGGAAUCACAAUUGUGGGGUGUAUGGUAUUCCAGGUAUGAUUGACUUCCAGUCAAUUGGUUUGGAUAUCAAAGGUGUGUCAGAACAUUGAAAUAAGGUUUAUAUGGUAGUUAUCCAAAAAUCUCAAGGUUUGAAGGUUUACAAUUGAAUAAGGUUUCCAAAAUAGAUAUCAAAGAAUCAAGUUAAUGGCUCAAGAAUCAAUGAAUGAAUAGUUCAAGUGAUAGUCAAAGAAUCUGGUUGAUGGUUUAAGAAUCGAUGAAUUAAACAAUUCAUGAUAUGGCUCAAUAAGUGUCAUGAGUGAAUUAGAAAGCUCGCAAAGCAAUCACAUCAAGGAUCAUAUAUAUAUAAUUGAAGGAAAGUAUCAAGGAAACUUGCCUUAUACUGACGAUUUCAAAUUUCAAUCGCUCCUGCUCGAUAUACUAUUCUAUAUCCACUUGCUUUCCCCUUUAUUACGCCUCGCUUCUCUGCUAAUCAUCACAACUAAUUAUCAAUAUGUGAUCUCAUACUAUUCUCAUCAUCUUACAUUCGAAACGAGCUUCUAUCUACCCUUCGUUUCACCCAAAUCCGAUUUACGGAUCAAAAGAUAUGUCAAAAACAAUUUUAUAUCAAUCACGUAAACACAUAACAUGUCAAUCAGAUAGCACAUAGCACAUAUCACAUAAAAUAUUUAAUAAAAUAUAUUUUUCAAAAGAAGUUUGAAGUCAAACGGAUUUUUCUGGUAUUUAUUAUGAAUUUUUAAACAUUUUUCGGAAUUAAAACGGUCAAAGAAUCAUUUUAUAAAUAAAUAAUCCAUUUCUGGAUACUCGAAAUCAAGUCCGAAAUCAUUUGAAAUCAAUUAACGAGCUUCAAUCAUAUUUUAGAAUAAUAUUUUAAAGCUCGAAACUAUUUUUCGGAAUUUUAAAAUCAUUUAAAAAUAUUUAAAAUAAUUAAAUCUAAUUAAUAAAUCAAUUAAAAUCAAUUAAUAAUUAAUUAAAACAAUUAAUCAAUUAAUAAUUAAAUUAAUUGACUAAUUAUAAUAAUUAAUUACUAAUUAAAAUUAAUUAAUAAAUUAAAUCAGAUUUAUUUUUGAAUUAAUGAAUAUUUAAAAACAAUUUUUGAAAUUAAAAUAAACGAUUUUCGAAAUUAAAUUUAAAUCAAAAAUCAUUUUUAAAACUUUUUAAAAGUCCAGGGUUUGAAUUGUAACGUUUGGAAACUUCAGGGUUUGAUUUGUAAAACCAGAAAGUUAAAUCCCACAACUUCACCACCUCCAAAAGUCCAGGGGCCAAACUGCAAUUUUGCAGCCGCCGCCCCUGGCUUCGCCGGAGGUGGUGAUUCCGGCCACCAACGGCCUCCAAACGGUGCAGAUAUGGAGUACUAAGCCUCCCCAACUCAUCCAUACAAUCCACUUCACCAGAAACGGCCGGAAUCGACCGUAAUCGAUCGAAGAAACUCGCCGUCGCCGGCGAGGUUUCUUUGAAUCGAUUCGUUCGAUUCACGAACCUCAGCUAAGAUCUGAAGGUAUGUACAGGUUCCUGGGGUCACAACAAACAUGCUGGUAUCAUCCAAUUCCCCUUCUACCUCCUAGAUUAAAAAGCCCCAAAUUUCAAUUGAAAACCUUCAUCGCGAUUUAGAACCCUAAUUUUCAAUUUCGAACUUUAAACCUAAAAUUAACUAUGUUAUUGAACUCCAAAUCAAGCAUAUGAUAUACCAAAAUGAUCAGGAGAAGAUUAUCUACAACAUACAAUCAUCAAAUCACACAAACAACUUCAAAAUCAAAAAGCCCUAAUUUAAGCCUAUUUAUUUCGAAUUUAAAACUCAAAAUCCACACCCACCUGAUGUUGCUGCACUGAUUUUGAUGCUAGAUUAUGAUUCUACUUGUUAAAACCUUCAAUUUGAGCCCUUGAACGCCAAAAUCCGAGUCCGAUAACGCGUCCAAAUCCUCGUUUGAAUCUCAAGAACACGAAGAACUCUCUCGGGAAUUUCUCGGUUUUAACUGGUUUUAUGAUUUUCGUAAUAAAAUAAAGUAC
rnacentral:lncRNA from 1 species